AACGAACGCUGGCGGCAUGCCUAACACAUGCAAGUCGAACGAGACCUUCGGGUCUAGUGGCGCACGGGUGCGUAACGCGUGGGAAUCUGCCCUUGGGUUCGGAAUAACAGUUGGAAACGACUGCUAAUACCGGAUGAUGACGUAAGUCCAAAGAUUUAUCGCCCAAGGAUGAGCCCGCGUAGGAUUAGCUAGUUGGUGAGGUAAAGGCUCACCAAGGCGACGAUCCUUAGCUGGUCUGAGAGGAUGGUCAGCCACACUGGGACUGAGACACGGCCCAGACUCCUACGGGAGGCAGCAGUGGGGAAUAUUGGACAGUGGGCGAAAGCCUGAUCCAGCAAUGCCGCGUGAGUGAUGAAGGCCUUAGGGUUGUAAAGCUCUUUUACCCGGGAUGAUAAUGACAGUACCGGGAGAAUAAGCUCCGGCUAACUCCGUG
rnacentral:rRNA from 1 species